UGCCCCAUGGCUGAUUUGGUUACAGCGUCCGACUGUUAUGUGCCACCUACGAUGCGACGUUAUCGUCGAAAGGUUGAGAGUUCGAGCCUCCCUGGGACAG